UGUGAACCAGGAAGCAAACCUUCACCGGAUGCCAAAUUUGUGGACUCCUUGAUCUUAGAUAGUCCAGCCUCCAGAACUGGAAGUAUCAGUUCUGCAAAUAAGGCUUCCUUCGAGGAGGACCAAGACAACUAAACGCAGUCACCAACAUCAAAAAAGCUUAUCUUCCAAGGGGGGAUACAGCAAAGGAUUUAAUUCAACAAUUAAAACAGGAUGUGGUGAGUGUCAUGGCAGCGAUAAGCCUGGCAUGCCCCGGAAACACCGAGAAUGGGUAACUAAAUUUGACCUGAGUCUGCACUUCUUGGAGAAGUCCAUAUACACUAUUCCUCGCUUCUAUUAGUUCAUAUUGUGUUGCUAAAAAGGAACACUGGCACUGGGUAAUUUAUACAGAGGCUUAUUUUGACUUAUGGUUCUAUAGUGUAUGUAAGAAGCCUGGGACCAGCAUCUGCUCAGCUUCUGGUGAAGCCUUCAGGAAGCUUUCAAUCAUGGUGGAAGGCAGAAGCGCACAUCACCUGGACACUUCUUCAGCCUGAUCUGGUGCGACCAUCAUCAUCUGCUGUGGGUCCUGCUGCCAUGGGCUGUUCUAAGGAUUGCUCCUGGCUGAUGGCAGCUGCUCUCCACUCAGAGGUACCCCUGAAUCACAUAAGAGUCCUCAGUGACUGACUGGCGUGUGUGUGUCUGUGUGCGUGUGUGUGGUUGUGUGUGUGUUGGGAGGAGCUUACAAAAAGCCCCUCUUACACUUCAAGAAGGAAUAGGCUCUGCAGUGAUGUCUAAAUCGCAGAGCGCCAUGAAGAAUGUGGCUGAGGCUAGACAUCACCAGGAAACACAUCCUACUUGGCUUCUUCUUCUUUCCUAAACUGCUUCCUUCACCCCUUGUAGGUUCCUUGAAAGCACUUCCUCCACCAAUCACUUGCCAAAAAUAAACCUGCUUCUAGAAAAUCCAACCUGCUUCUAGAAAAUCCAACCUGAGACCUAUACCAAAAU
rnacentral:lncRNA from 1 species